AACCUUUACACUGCACGACAGUGCGAUAAGGGGACUCCGAGUGCGAGGGCAUACAGUCCUCGCUUUUCUGUACCGUAAGGUGGUACAGGAGCAAGUGCUGGGCAAGACCGGUGCCAGCCGCCGCGGUAAUACCGGCAGCCCGAGUGAUGGCCGAUCUUAUUGGGCCUAAAGCGUCCGUAGCUGGCCGCACAAGUCCAUCGGAAAAUCCACCCGCUCAACGGGUGGGCGUCCGGUGGAAACUGUGUGGCUUGGGACCGGAAGGCGCGACGGGUACGUCCGGGGUAGGAGUGAAAUCCCGUAAUCCUGGACGGACCGCCGAUGGCGAAAGCACGUCGCGAGAACGGAUCCGACAGUGAGGGACGAAAGCUAGGGUCUCGAACCGGAUUAGAUACCCGGGUAGUCCUAGCCGUAAACAAUGCCUGCUAGGUGUGGCUCCCACUACGAGUGGGUGCUGUGCCGUAGGGAAGCCGCUAAGCAGGCCGCCUGGGAAGUACGUCCGCAAGGAUGAAACUUAA
rnacentral:rRNA from 1 species